GCGUUGCUGCGUCUUGAGAUCCUAGUUGCCACGGUUCCCUGCAUCACAAGGAGAAUUUGUAAAAAAUGAAAAAUACCUGUGAACAACAUUUGAAACAUUUUCAUCUCAAUAAUUCUGCUUCUUGCUCUUAAAAUGCAAAAAGACAAGGAACGAAAUCUAUGAUUGGUCCAACCAAGAAUGGCAUGGGACUUGUUAGGCAUUAGGGGCGACCCAUCGGCCCCUUUUGAUAGGCUUCUUUGUCCAUCUCUUCUCUAUAUGAUAUUUAUUCAAGACUAAAUGGGACCAGAUCUAUUACUCAGACAAAAGCAACACAACCCUAAAUGUGAUCUCCCACGCUUGGCAAUGAUACCAUUAAUAGUAAGGAGUGAGUAUGUGGCAAAUACCCAAACUUGUGCUUGACUAAGCCUCACCUACAUGGAAGAUAACUUGUUCUCGCACUUGGGUUUCGACCAAGUCAUCUCUCACAGUAACAGUGAUGAGCUGUUGAGCGAAAGUUGUUCAUAGCUAAGAAUCGCUAAGGCUAGUCACUCCCGGGUCUAUCCUAUAUAUCUUUCGAUUCUAGCUGGGGGUAUUCUCUCUAUUCAAGUUGUGCAGUUCCCACUAGACUCAAGGGAUGAGGCUAAGCGAGUUGUAAAACCUAUCACUAGCGAUAUACAUAAUGAGGCGUUUAAUCAAAGGCUUUUUCGCCAAAUAGCUUAUAUAAUACGAUAGGGCGGUAUUUUUGUUAUGGAAAGUAUCUCUAUUUCCUUGGAUAUCUUCAUCUAGUAUUUUUACCCUUACUGACAGUAUGAAAGAAGGUAGCUCACCACCAAGUCUAGGUACCCCAUCAUGUGUCAUAAUAGGGGAUUAAUGCUCAUUUACAUAAAAAUGAGUUAAACCUGCAGUGAAGUCUACUAUAAUUCCUAUUUUUAUCCCUUCAUACCAAAAUCGAAUUUCAAACAUAAAAAUAACACUAAAAAUACUAGUUUUUCAAUUUCUCAGCUUCCGGCUUAUAAGUUGGAAGUUAAAUUGUAAGUUCUUUACACAAGCGGGACAAAUAAGCUGCUUCUGACUUAUAAGCCUAGAAGCAUGGCUUUUAAGCCCAACAAAAGACACCCAUUGACUUACGCUUAUUAAGGCAUUCAGCUUUACUUAUCUAAAUGACUUGAGAUGUUAUUAAAACAUCACUUUAUCAGGUCUUUGUCCUCGUUGAGCUCGCAAACCGGGCAGUGGACUGAUACCAUUUAUAACGAUCCAAGCCCACAACCCAUGCAUUAUCGAACCCAGCACAAAGUUGAGAAUUUCGUGUACGUUUAGACCUGGCAGAAUAUGGUUUUGGACCGAUUUUAGUUGAUUAAUAUGGAUUUGGAUUGGUUUAUGAACCAAAACCAUAUAUCAACUAUAUUAUAUCAAAAAUGGUUAUAAUUUGGUUUGGUUUUAUAUGGUUAUGAGAUUAAAAUGAUUAAGAAAAAUAUAUCGUGAUGUAAGUUUAUUAUUCCUUGCAUCAUAGGCGUUGCUGCGUCUUGAGAUCCUAGUUGCCACGGUUCCCUGCAUCACAAGGAGAAUUUGUAAAAAAAUGAAAAAUACAUGUGAACAACAUUUGAAACAUUUUCAUCUCAAUAAUUCUGCUUCUUGCUCUUAACAUGCAAAAAGACAAGGAAGGAAAACUAUGAUUGGUCCAACCAAGAGUGGCAUGGGACUUGUUAGGCAUUAGGGGCGACCCAUCGGCCCCUUUUGACAGGCUUCUUUGUCCAUCUAUUCUCUAUACUAAAUGGGACCAGAUCUAUUACUCAGACAAAAGCAACACAACCCUAAAUGUGAUCUCCAACGCUUGGCAAUGAUACCAUUAAUAGUAAGGAGUGAGUAUGUGGCAAAUACCCAAACUUGUGCUUGACUAAGCCUCACCCACAUGGAAGAUAACUUGUUCUCGCACUUGGGUUUCGACCAAGUCAUCUCUCACAGUAACAGUGAUGAGCUGUUGAGCGAAAGUUGUUCAUAGCUAAGAAUCGCUAAGGCUAGUCACUCCCGGGUCUAUCCUAUAUAUCUUUUGAUUCUAGCUGGGGUAUUCUCUCUAUUCAAGUUGUGCAAUUCCCACUAGACUCAAGGGAUGAGGCUAAGCGAGUUGUAAAACCUAUCACUAGCGAUAUACAUAAUGAGGCGUUUAAUCAAAGGCUUUUUCGCCAAAUAGCUUAUAUAAUACGAUAGGGCGGUAUUUUUGUUAUGGAAAGUAUCUCUAUUUCCUUGGAUAUCUUCAUCUAGUAUUUUUACCCUUACUGACAGUAUGAAAGAAGGUAGCUCACCACCAAGUCUAGGUACCCCAUCAUGUGUCAUAAUAGGGGAUUAAUGCUCAUUUACAUAAAAAUGAGUUAAACCUGCAGUGAAGUCUACUAUAAUUCCUAUUUUUAUCCCUUCAUACCAAAAUCGAAUUUCAAACAUAAAAAUAAUUCACUAAAAAAACUAGUUUUUCAAUUUCUCAGCUUCCGGCUUAUAAGUUGGAAGUUAAAUUGUAAGUUCUUUACACAAGCGGGACAAAUAAGCUGCUUCUGACUUAUAAGCCUAGAAGCAUGGCUUUUAAGCCCAACAAAAGACACCCAUUGACUUACGCUUAUUAAGGCAUUCAGCUUUACUUAUCUAAAUGACUUGAGAUGUUAUUAAAACAUCACUUUAUCAGGUCUUUGUCCUCGUUGAGCUCGCAAACCGGGCAGUGGACUGAUACCAUUUAUAACGAUCCAAGCCCACAACCCAUGCAUUAUCGAACCCAGCACAAAGUUGAGAAUUUCGUGUACGUUUAGACCUGGCAGAAUAUGGUUUUGGACCGAUUUUAGUUGAUUAAUAUGGAUUUGGAUUGGUUUAUGAACCAAAACCAUAUAUCAACUAUAUUAUAUCAAAAAUGGUUAUAAUUUGGUUUGGUUUUAUAUGGUUAUGAGAUUAAAAUGAUUAAGAAAAAUAUAUCGUGAUGUAAGUUUAUUAUUCCUUGCAUCAUAGGCGUUGCUGCGUCUUGAGAUCCUAGUUGCCACGGUUCCCUGCAUCACAAGGAGAAUUUGUAAAAAAAUGAAAAAUACAUGUGAACAACAUUUGAAACAUUUUCAUCUCAAUAAUUCUGCUUCUUGCUCUUAACAUGCAAAAAGACAAGGAAGGAAAACUAUGAUUGGUCCAACCAAGAGUGGCAUGGGACUUGUUAGGCAUUAGGGGCGACCCAUCGGCCCCUUUUGACAGGCUUCUUUGUCCAUCUAUUCUCUAUACUAAAUGGGACCAGAUCUAUUACUCAGACAAAAGCAACACAACCCUAAAUGUGAUCUCCAACGCUUGGCAAUGAUACCAUUAAUAGUAAGGAGUGAGUAUGUGGCAAAUACCCAAACUUGUGCUUGACUAAGCCUCACCCACAUGGAAGAUAACUUGUUCUCGC
rnacentral:lncRNA from 1 species